GACGUAGGGCGCGAGCGUUGUCCGGAUUUAUUGGGCGUAAAGAGCUCGUAGGCGGCUUGUCGCGUCGGCUGUGAAAUCCCGUGGCUCAACUGCGGGUCUGCAGCCGAUACGGGCAGGCUAGAGUUCGGUAGGGGAGACUGGAAUUCCUGGUGUAGCGGUGGAAUGCGCAGAUAUCAGGAGGAACACCGAUGGCGAAGGCAGGUCUCUGGGCCACUACUGACGCUGAGAAGCGAAAGCAUGGGGAGCGAACAGG
rnacentral:rRNA from 1 species